UACGUAGGGUGCGAGCGUUAAUCGGAAUUACUGGGCGUAAAGCGUGCGCAGGCGGUUCGCCAAGUCAGGUGUGAAAUCCCCGGGCUUAACCUGGGAAUUGCGCUUGAAACUAGCGGGCUUGAGUGUGGCAGAGGGGGGUGGAAUUCCACGUGUAGCAGUGAAAUGCGUAGAGAUGUGGAGGAACACCGGUGGCGAAGGCGGGUCUCUGGGCCGAUACUGACGCUGAGGAGCGAAAGCGUGGGGAGCGAACAGG
rnacentral:rRNA from 1 species